AUGGCCCUGAAUCAAGGCUGGCAGCUUCCUGAUGCUACUGGUUUCAAACAGGAGCCUAAAGCGAUGUCUUUCUAUGGUCUGUUGGCCAUUUCAGAACAUGGGGAGUGAAAUGGUCAAUUCAUUAGAAAGAAACAGCU
ensembl:snoRNA small nucleolar RNA SNORA2/SNORA34 family